GUCGCAUCCAACAACUAGAGCAUGGUGUGCAAGCAGAUACAAGGAUGAGGAAGAGCAAUGGAUGUGCUCAAUUUCUCAUUUCCUCUAGAACUUCAAAAAACCAUGUGCCUACUAUCUUUGGAGAUGAAGUUGCAAAUAAAAACUUGUCAUAAAUUGGUCAGCCAAUUUUUAAGACUAAUGCUAUUCCCAUGAUCAGUUGGCCAAAGACUUC
rnacentral:misc_RNA from 1 species